ensembl:lncRNA
AUUGCUGGAUGGCCAGGGAAGUGAUGCUCUUAAAGCUUCUUUGUCAGAUAGAUACCUACAAGCCCUGAAUCAUCACAGCUGGAGGGCACUCAGUCACCUCCUCACAAAUCACAGAAUUGCAGGGGUUGGAAGAGACUUCAGGAGAUUGAGUCCAACCCCCCUGCUAAAACAGGCACAGGCAGAGCUCCCACGGAGAAACAUGGGAGGCCCAAAAUGAAUGAUGGAGGAUGGAGGCUUUCAAACAAAGAAACCACAGAUGGAGGCAAGGGAAGACUGUGCUUCUGCCAUACAAAAAGUUCCACUGAGGUGACUACCUCCAAAGACAUUCUGAAGAUAAUUGAGUAAGUGGGUGCGUACCUAUGUACAGAAUAGCAAAAGGCGUUUUGCCCUGUUC